rnacentral:rRNA from 2 species
CUGGCGGCGUGCCUAAUACAUGCAAGUCGAGCGGAGUUUUGAAAAGCUUGCUUUUCAAAACUUAGCGGCGGACGGGUGAGUAACACGUGGGCAACCUGCCCUUGAGACGGGGAUAACUCCGGGAAACCGGAGCUAAUACCGGAUAACACAUAUCUUCGCAUGAGGAUAUGUUAGAAGGUGGCUUUUAGCUACCACUCAAGGAUGGGCCCGCGGCGCAUUAGCUAGUUGGUGAGGUAACGGCUCACCAAGGCGACGAUGCGUAGCCGACCUGAGAGGGUGAUCGGCCACACUGGGACUGAGACACGGCCCAGACUCCUACGGGAGGCAGCAGUAGGGAAUCUUCCGCAAUGGACGAAAGUCUGACGGAGCAACGCCGCGUGAGUGAUGAAGGUUUUCGGAUCGUAAAGCUCUGUUGUUAGGGAAGAACAAGUACCUGUUAAAUAAGCAGGUACCUUGACGGUACCUAACCAGAAAGCCACGGCUAACUACGUGCCAGCAGCCGCGGUAAUACGUAGGUGGCAAGCGUUGUCCGGAAUUAUUGGGCGUAAAGCGCGCGCAGGCGGUUCCUUAAGUCUGAUGUGAAAGCCCACGGCUCAACCGUGGAGGGUCAUUGGAAACUGGGGAACUUGAGUGCAGAAGAGGAGAGCGGAAUUCCACGUGUAGCGGUGAAAUGCGUAGAGAUGUGGAGGAACACCAGUGGCGAAGGCGGCUCUCUGGUCUGUAACUGACGCUGAGGCGCGAAAGCGUGGGGAGCGAACAGGAUUAGAUACCCUGGUAGUCCACGCCGUAAACGAUGAGUGCUAAGUGUUAGAGGGUUUCCGCCCUUUAGUGCUGCAGCAA